rnacentral:rRNA from 1 species
GACGAACGCUGGCGGCGCGCCUAACACAUGCAAGUCGAACGGAGCUUGCUUGUCAGAUCCUUUCGGGGUGACGACUUGUAAGCUUAGUGGCGAACGGGUGAGUAACACGUGAGUAACCUGCCCCAGAGUGGGGGACAACAGUUGGAAACGGCUGCUAAUACCGCAUAAUGUACAGAGGGGGCAUCCCUUUUGUAUCAAAGGAGAAAUCCGCUGAAAGAUGGGCUCACGUCUGAUUAGCUGGUUGGUGGGGUAAAGGCCUACCAAGGCUGCGAUCAGUAGCCGGACUGAGAGGUUGAACGGCCACAUUGGGACUGAGAUACGGGCCCAG